UACGGAGGGGGACUAGCGUUGUUCGGAAUUACUGGGCGUAAAGCGCACGUAGGCGGAUUUGUAAGUCAGGGGUGAAAUCCCGGGGCUCAACCUCGGAACUGCCUUUGAUACUGCAAAUCUCGAGUCCGGAAGAGGUGGAGUGGAAUUCCUAGUGUAGAAGGUGAAUUCGUAGAUAUUAGGAAGAACACCAGUGGCGGAAGGCGG
rnacentral:rRNA from 1 species